rnacentral:rRNA from 1 species
GACGAACGCUGGCGGCGUGCUUAACACAUGCAAGUCGAACGGAAAGGCCCUGCUUGCCGGGUACUCGAGUGGCGAACGGGUGAGUAACACGUGGGUGAUCUGCCCUGCACUUCGGGAUAAGCCUGGGAAACUGGGUCUAAUACCGGAUAGGAGCCAUUUUUAGUGUGAUGGUUGGAAAGUUUUUUCGGUGUAGGAUGAGCUCGCGGCCUAUCAGCUUGUUGGUGGGGUAAUGGCCUACCAAGGCGGCGACGGGUAGCCGGCCUGAGAGGGUGGACGGCCACAUUGGGACUGAGAUGCGGCCCAGACUCCUACGGGAGGCAGCAGUGGGGAAUAUUGCACAAUGGGCGCAAGCCUGAUGCAGCGACGCCGCGUGGGGGAUGACGGCCUUCGGGUUGUAAACUCCUUUCGCUAGGGACGAAGCUUUUUGUGACGGUACCUAGAUAAGAAGCACCGGCUAACUACGUG